UAAAAAGUAACACUCCGAGUCCAUUGACCUAAAGCAAAAGGCCAUGGUCUUUGGACCGAUAGGGUGUAUUGGGAAACCGGUACGCCUCCCGGUAUGGAAAGGAGGGCUUGAACUGUUUAU
rfam:Peptococcaceae bacterium SCADC1_2_3 contig_54, whole genome shotgun sequence.